AAGCAGUUUCUCUGAUCUCCUUGUUUUUCUCCCCCUGCCUUGCAGAUCACCCUUUGCUGAAGGAAGUCGUGGAAGCUUUAUGGUCUCUGUUUUCACUUCUGUCAUGUUCAGAGGAGUUUGGGAACUCCAGCCUCGACACCUCAGCCCUGAGCCUCCUCUCUGCUUCCAACUCCAAGCCCAGCUUCUCAGGAGCGACCUAAAAACCACCCAUCAACCUGCCUGUCCACCUUCCAACGUUAAAACUCCAACCAUAGUGGAGUUUCCUGGAAGAGAAGAAACUAAGCACUUCAUCCUCCGAAAACUGUUCCAGCCUCAAGCCACCGUGGAGAAGGACUUAUUUCCGCCCGGUCUUGCCAAGAACCCCCCCCCCCCCUAGAAACCCUGCGUUUGUCCGCCAGCUCCAGUCCUGGUUCCAGUCCAACCUUUAUCCGUAUUUCUAAAACUGAUAAAACACAUCCAUGAUCCAUUAACUGUAAAAUGUUACAUAUAUAUGUAUCCAUUUAUAUUUCUCUUACCCUAACAGCAGUUUGCGACAAUACAGUAUAUCCAGCUCACGAUAAAGGAAGAUACAGAAGAAAAAGAUUACAUUUUACCAAUAAUUUGGGAAAACUAAGAAUCCAGAUUUUCACAAGAAGAGGAAAACUGUUUUAAAGAAUCUCUAAUCGGUGAAGAAUAUUCAAAAUCAUCUUAGGCUACUCUAAGAUGGGCCUAAUGCCAUAAAGCACUGAAAAUGUUUCAAUUUUCCUGUUUUCACAAAUAAAGUAAAGGUUUGCUAAAUCUCAAA